rnacentral:rRNA from 1 species
UACGUAGGUGGCAAGCGUUGUCCGGAAUCACUGGGCGUAAAGCGCGCGCAGGCGGCGAUCUACGUCUGGGGGUGAAAGCCCGGAGCCUCAACUCCGGGACUCGCCUUGGAUACGGGAUCGCUUGAGGAUUGGAGAGGCAAGGGGAAUUCCACGUGUAGCGGUGAAAUGCGUAGAUAUGUGGAGGAACACCUGUGGCGAAGGCGCCUUGCUGGCCAAUUUCUGACGCUGAGGCGCGAAAGCGUGGGGAGCAAACAGG